rnacentral:rRNA from 1 species
ACAGCAGCCGCCGCGGUAACACGUAGGGUGCGAGCGCUAAUCGGAAUUACUGGGCGUAAAGCGUGCGCAGGCGGUUAUAUAAGACAGAUGUGAAAUCCCCGGGCUCAACCUGGGACCUGCAUUUGUGACUGUAUAGCUAGAGUACGGUAGAGGGGGAUGGAAUUCCGCGUGUAGCAGUGAAAUGCGUAGAUAUGCGGAGGAACACCGAUGGCGAAGGCAAUCCCCUGGACCUGUACUGACGCUCAUGCACGGAAGCGUGGGGAGCAAACAGGAUUAGAUACCCGCGUAGUCCCUGUCUCUUAUAC